GGUGGCUCAGUAGUAGAGUGCUUGCCUUGCAUGCAUGAGGUCCUGGGUUCGAUUCCUCAGCACCA
rfam:Dipodomys ordii contig_69401, whole genome shotgun sequence.